rnacentral:lncRNA from 1 species
AGGCCACUUGGUAGAGGCUUCAGAGAUCUGACACCCUGAGAACCAUCCCAACAGGCGAGGAGCAAAGCCCUUCCAAGCAGAGUUCAAGUAACCGCUUUGGAAUUCGUACCAAGGUGCCAGACAACAUAGUUGACACACAUUACGAUCCUCUUUAAUCUUCAUAACCCCUGGAGGUGAGCACUGUUUUAUCUUCAUUUAGAGAGGAGCAAAGGAAGCUCGGG